rnacentral:tRNA from 1 species
GUACCCAUAGCUCAAUUGGAUAGAGUACUUGACUACGAAUCAAGCGGUUGCAGGUUCGACUCCUGCUGGGUACA